AUCUGGGGGGAGAACGUGUAGGAGACCUCGGAGGACCGUGGUGGACACCUGCCCUCGCCCCCGCACCUGCGUCCCCCCCCCCGGGGGCUUUACCGGCUGUCUUUUUCGAUACGUGUAAUUUUUCCACAGUAGGAGCAUCAGCUGUGUGCGGAAGGCCAUGAUGACUCUGGAAGGGAGACAGAGCAGAGAGGACGGCUGAAAACAUCAGGCUGACAGUGAGCUGUGCGGCUGGAGGUGAAUGCGUGACGGUCUCUGAUCGAUCUUCAUCCUCCCAGCCACGGGUCAGCCACGCAGUGCACCCAGCUGCGGGAAUCUCCAGCAAAGAAAGCCCCGCAAACAUCAAGGGGGGACCAAUGGGGGCCCGGCCCGCAGCCGUCUUCGUAGCUGAUUGGCUGAGAGGGCUAUCGCUCCCGGGGGGCUGAAGGCUGGGGUCGGGGAGACCCCGUUCGCAUUCUUAGUGGGCGGGGCUUGGCUUUACGGCCUGGGGCUCCGGGCUCCGCCCUCAGCCUCUUCCGGGACCCAGGUUCCCAUGGCCCCCGGCGACCCACGGGGAGACCCGCAAGCCUGCGUCCCCAGUGCGGACCGCGUCUCCUGUCCAGCUGCCUUCCAUGCUGCAGAGAUGGAAACUGAGGCUCGAAAAAGGGCAGCAAAAAAACAAACAAACAAACAAAAAAAACCAACAACAAUCAAUCCGUCAAAAGGCGGAGUCACGCUCCCAAGGAAACCGGUGUCGGAAGGACGGGCCGGGCCGGCCAUUCCUGACCGUCCCCCGCCCCAGAACUGUCCGCCUGCGGCCUCCUUCGUGACAGACAGGGAAACUGAGGCUGACGACCAGGAAGCGGCGGCGUCCAUUUGGGGACGUUCAUCUUUUGCACAGUGGGACUUGGGGGCCGGCCUCAUCUGGAAAGCGGGGCGCAGCAGGUGCAGGCUGGCCGAGGCCCCCCUCGGGACCGGCGCCCGCUGUGAGAAAGAGCGGCCAGUUUCCCCACCCUCGUGGGAAGGCUAGGAAGUCCCUCCACCUGGAACAGAGACGUCCCCAAAAUCUGAAGUCCCCAAAAAUCUCAGGGACACGGGCAUUCAACUUAACAAAAAAGAACUGGAAUAUCCAAACAACAGAUGCACAGCUCACGAGAUGGAGAAACUUCCGGAAGCAUUAGCCACUGAAGCAGGAAAGAGAAGGCCUAGGGUUGGACUGUUCACAACUUGGGCAUGUAGAGGAAUGCAAUAGGACAAGGAAACACCAGACAGGGACAGACAGAGGGCCCAGGGUUAGGGUUUCUAUUCCAGGCCCUGGGUUCACUCCUGAGCACCCAUGUCAGGUGGCUCGCAGCCAGCACCAGGGGAUCCGAGCGCCCUCUUCUGGACUCAGAGGGAAGUGCACUCGUGUGCAUACUCACAGAGGCACACAGGCACAAACACAAGUAAAAAUGAACUAAACCCUAAAUAAAAUAAAAUAAAGACAACAGAUAAGCAAAGAGGCUGAAAAGCAAAAGAGAGACUAUGCAAUAAGAAGGAAAAGAAAACUUAGACAUGCGCAGCAAGCCGUGCAGCACAGAGCACUAAGGCUGAGGUGAGCACUCACGUGCAU